AAGGACGUAAGUGAACGAAAACUAGGGUAAGCUCACAAAAAGCAUUGACCCCUAGGUCUCCGAAUGGGGCAACCCGGUUGUGGAAGACACAAUCAUUACUAAGUGAAUACAUAGCUUAGUAAGGCAAUACCCUGCGAACUGAAACAUCUAAGUAGCAGGAGGAAAAGAAAGAAACAUCGAUUUUCUAAGUAGCGGCGAGCGAAAGGAAAAGAGCCUAACUCAAUAGCGAUUUACUAAUGUUAGUCAAAUUAUCUGAAAAGAUAAACCAAAGAAAGUGAAAGUCUUGUAGACGAAAACAUUAAUAAACGAGAGGGAAAGUAUCACCGGGCACGAGUAACCCGGUGUGAAGAUAGGGGGCCCAUCCCCUAAGGCUAAAUACUAACAUGUGACCGAUAGUGAACAAGUACCGUGAGGGAAAGGUGAAAAGAACCCCGAAAGGGGAGUGAAAUAGAACCUGAAACCUAGUGCCUACAAGCAGACAGAGCGUGAGCGAACGUGAUGUCGUACCUUUUGUAGAAUGGGCCAGCGAGUUAUUCUAAAUUGCAAGGUUAAUGAUUUAAGAUCAGAAGCCGCAGCGAAAGCGAGUCUUAAUAGGGCGAAAGUAAGUUAGAAUAGACCCGAAACCGGGUGAUCUAUCCAUGGUCAGAGUGAAGUUGAAGUAAAAUUCAAUGGAGGCUCGAACCGGGUGCGGUUUAAAACGCAUCGGAUGAACUGUGGAUAGGGGCGAAAAACCAAACGAACCCGGAGAUAGCUGGUUCUCCUCGAAAUAGCUUUAGGGCUAGCCUCUGACCUAAGAUUUUAGGAGGUAGAGCACUGAAUGGUCUAGGGCGGAUUACCGUACCAAAACCUAUCAAACUCCGAAUGCCAAAAAAUCAAGUCAGGGAGUCAGACUUAGGGGGAUAAGCUUCUAAGUCGAAAGGGAAACAGCCCAGACCGACAGCUAAGGUCCCAAAAUUUGAAUUAAGUGGAAAAGGAUGUGAAUCUACUAAGACAACCAGGACGUUGGCUUAGAAGCAGCCAUGCAUUUAAAGAAUGCGUAAUAGCUCACUGGUCAAGUGGGUUUGCGCCGAAAAUGAACGGGGCUCAAAUUCAAUACCGAAGCUUCGGAUUAAUAGAGGAAUUAAGUUUACAAAUGAGACUAGGAAAUAUUUAACAAAAACAGAAGAGAUUAAAAAGAAAUACAAAUUUCAGACGCAGACAUAAAAGAUAGGAUAUUAAAGAAAAGAAAAAUAUUCAAAAAACACAAGUCUAAAGUCAAAAGUGAGUAACAUAAGAAAUUAUGAACUAACAAUCACUGGUUAAGAGUUAAAAACUAGGACUCAUAGCUAAACUUAAUACCUCUAUUAGUGGUAGAGGAGCAUUGUAUUAGAGACGAAGCCAAGGCGAAAGCAAAAGUGGAUCUAAUACAAGAGAGAAUGCUGGCAUGAGUAGCGAGAAGGGAUGUGAGAAUCAUCCCCGUCGAAACCCUAAGGACUCCUGAGCAAGGCUCGUCCCCUCAGGGAAAGUCGGGACCUAAGCCAAGGCCGAAAGGCGUAGGCGAUGGAUAACAGGUUUAUAUUCCUGUACCGCUUGAAGUCGUUAAGAGAGAAGUGAUGACGCAAAAGGAUAAGCAAAGCCAUCAGAUGGAAAAGAUGGUCUAAAGCCGUAGGAAGAAAAGUAGGCAAAUCCGCUUUUCACAAAUUCUAAAAGCCGAUAGGUAUCGAAAACAUAAGUAGAGAAGUUGCCGAUUCCAGGUUGCCAAGAAAAGUCACUAUCCAGACCAAAGCGCCCGUACCAAAACCGACACAGGUAGGGAGGUAGAGAAUACCAAGACGCGCGGAAGAACCUUUGUUAAGGAACUCGGCAAAAUGUCCCCGUAACUUCGGGAGAAGGGGAGCCUGAGCAAUCAGGCCACAGAAACCAGGCCCAAGCGACUGUUUACCAAAAACACAAGUUUCUGCAAAAUCGCAAGAUGAAGUAUAGGAGCUGACACCUGCCCGGUGCUGGAAGGUUAAGGGGAAGGCUUAGAGCAAUCGAAGGCUAGAACUUAAGCCCCAGUAAACGGCGGCCGUAACUAUAACGGUCCUAAGGUAGCGAAAUUCCUAGCCCCAGUAAACGGCGGCCGUAACUAUAACGGUCCUAAGGUAGCGAAAUUCCUUGUCGGGUAAGUUCCGACCCGCACGAAAGGUGUAACGAUUUGGGCGCUGUCUCAACAAAGGAUCCGGUGAAAUUGUAGUAGUCGUGAAGAUGCGACUUACCCACGGUAGGACGGAAAGACCCCGUGGAGCUUUACUGCAGGUUGACAUUGAAUUUUGGGAUUAAAUGUACAGGAUAGGUGGGAGACGAAGAAGCAAGCUCGCCAGAGUUUGCAGAGUCACUGUUGGGAUACCACCCUUUUAAUUCUAAAGUUCUAACUAGUUGCCAUGAAACUGGUAAUAGGACACUGUCAGUCGGGCAGUUUGACUGGGGCGGUCGCCUCCAAAAAAGUAACGGAGGCGUUCAAAGGUUCGCUCAGAAUGGUUGGAAAUCAUUCAAAGAGUACAAAGGCAAAAGCGAGCUUAACUGCGAGACAUACAGGUCGAGCAGAGACGAAAGUCGGACUUAGUGAUCCGGUGGUACCGAGUGGAAGGGCCAUCGCUCAACGGAUAAAAGCUACCCCGGGGAUAACAGGCUUAUCUCCCCCAAGAGUCCACAU
rnacentral:rRNA from 1 species